CCAGAGAAUUUAGCAGAGAUGCUUUAGUGCCUUCGGGAACUCUGAGACAGGUGCUGCAUGGCUGUCGUCAGCUCGUGUUGUGAAAUGUUGGGUUAAGCCCCGCAACGAGCGCAACCCCUAUCCUUUGUUGCCAGCGAUUCGGUCGGGAACUCAAAGGAGAUUGCCGGUGAUAAACCGGAGGAAGGUGGGGAUGACGUCAAGUCAUCAUGGCCCUUACGAGUAGGGCUACACACGUGCUACAAUGGCGCAUACAAAGAGAAGCGACCUCGCGAGAGCAAGCGGACCUCAUAAAGUGCGUCGUAGUCCGGAUUGGAGUCUGCAACUCGACUCCAUGAAGUCGGAAUCGCUAGUAAUCGUAGAUCAGAAUGCUACGGUGAAUACGUUCCCGGGCCUUGUACACACCGCCCGUCACACCAUGGGAGUGGGUUGCAAAAGAAGUAGAUAGCUUAACCUUCGGGAGGGCGUUUACCACUUUGUGAUUCAUGACUGGGGUGAAGUCGUAACAAGGUAAGCGUAGCGAG
rnacentral:rRNA from 1 species